CGCGAAGGACGAGAGGCCUUAGAAUGAUCUUCAUGAAGGCCCAAAACAUUAAACUCUAUAUCAAAUUUCAAGAACAUCAAUAUAGGUAGCUUAGAGCGAAUAGAGGUCCAAAAAGGCAACAAGCUUGAAACGGAUGUCGACCAGCUGGGGGUUAUAUGUAGGCCAGGUUAAUAACAAUUUGACAUUUGAAAACUGCUGAAGCCAUCAAUAGGCAAGUGCAAGAAUUCAAGAUUGUAAACAAUCCUUAUUAGCAAACCUAUGGCUCCUUGAGGUGUUUAAAUGGCAAUUCCACUAAAUCAAGACUAGAUUUCAUGUAAAUGCUUAUUUACAUUUCAUAGAAUUGAUAGUCUUGAACAAGUCUGUAAGGUGGUGGUGAUUAUAUUGGUUGAAUUCCAUCUUUGGAGAAAUAAGAGUGAAGGGGAUUUAUUUAUUAUUAUUAAGGCUGUAUUAAGCUGUACAUAGUAUAGAUGCAUAUGUUGGGGCUAAAUAUAUACAUUGUGUAAAUGUCACUACAUUUUCCUGACAAAAGAAGUUUUGUCGGAAUGAAAAUGUCAAAUCUGCCCCACCUUGGGAUGCGGGUAUUUAGGUGUGCCUACAUCACAGUCAUGUGGGGUACCUGACAUUUUUUAGUUUAGAGAUCUUAAGUCUUCAAGAACAAUUUAAUUUAUUUGGAGGGUAGAAUGUGAUGAUGACAAAUGUAAAUAACCAGUUGAGUAUAUAUAUUAAGCUCUAAGCCUCUUAAAAUUCACACCUUUUGUCAUGGUAGGUAAAGCCAAGGUAUAGCUUCACUAGCACCUAAUAUUAAACUGCUGUAUUUUUUAGUUGUAUUUUGAUCAUUAUAAUCAUAACUCUAACUCCUACUUUGGCUGAAUUGCACUCCAUAAAAUGUAUUUAUAAACAGAAUUUAUACAAUGUGUUUGGCAUAAUCUAUAAGUUGGAACUUGGGUAUCGUCUUAACCUAUUAACCACCAAUUGGACUAAUACAUUUUUCUUGAAUGUGUGACAAAGGAGACAAUUGUUCUUGGUUGAUGAACAGGGGCCGGUUGUUCAAAAGGCGUUUAGCUUAAA